UACGUAGGGUGCGAGCAUUAAUCGGAAUUACUGGGCGUAAAGCGUGCGCAGGCGGUUUUGUAAGACAGGCGUGAAAUCCCCGGGCUUAACCUGGGAACUGCGUUUGUGACUGCAAGGCUAGAGUACGGCAGAGGGGGGUGGAAUUCCACGUGUAGCAGUGAAAUGCGUAGAUAUGCGGAGGAACACCGAUGGCGAAGGCAAUCCCCUGGGCCUGCACUGACGCUCAUGCACGAAAGCGUGGGGAGCAAACAGG
rnacentral:rRNA from 1 species